CUUUGUUGUGCCUGUGUUGUAUGUAGUGUAGUAACAUCCCACCUCCUCUUCCCCCCUCCACACCCCUAGAACGUUCCAAUGGGGUCCCCUUCUUUUAUGGGGUCUAACCAAGGAUUCAGCAUGGGCGGAGCGGUCGGGGCUGGAGCUCCCAUGAUGCCCAUGGUUAGGCCAGGCUUUGGAGCCCCUGCAACCCCAGGAGCACCGAUGGGAUCUCCAGGGAUGGCCGGGAGUCCGAGGAGGCCUCCUCCUCCCAAGAAUGCCUUGGAUGACCUCAACAUCAAGGACUUCAUGUAAACCCCUCUAACCCUCCUAGAGGUUGUCGUUGUGUCUGGAGCUCUAUCGAUGUGGAUGUGUGCACUCCCCACCUUCCUGUCACGCCCAAGUCCCUUCAGCCAAUCAGCCAUCAGCAUUACGACCCCUGCCCUCUGACUUCCCCGUAACCCCGCCCUCCCUCUCUGUCUGAUGUUUUAGCACAAACCGUGGAUGUGAAUCAUAAAUACAGAAAACAAAAAUGUGUAUGUGUGUGUGAGUGUACUUCAAUGUUAUCCUUUACUUAAAUUAAGACAAAAAAUGUAACAUAAAAACUUCUAUUGUAUUUUGAAUCAUUCUGGUACUCCCUGAAAGAGCUGAGUUGGAAUGUGUUGUUAACCGUGAACUGUGUUCGGUGUGUGUAAACCUCACUGGCCAAUCCCUGCCCUAUCCCCUCCCUUGCUGUCCAAUCAAAUUCUGUACUGAGCUGUGUUGCUGACGUUAUUCAACACUUAGUUGUACUUCUCUCCAUUCAUUGAUCCAUCCAGCCUCUUAUACAGUUCUAUGGGUGUAUAUUGAUGAAUAUUGAAAUAUGUAUCAUCACAAAUCUGGGUUUACGAGAUGACGAAUCAUAUGACAACUUCCAUUUUCCAUUCAAUUCAUUUUUGUUUUUAUUUUGUCCGUUUUUUUUAUUGUGUGUUACAUGCAACAUUUGUUGACUAUGUUCAAAUUGACAUAUGCGUUUUUGAAUAUUUUAAAUGAUAGAUUAUACAUAUAUUUCUUUAGUCUUUAUUUUGAGAGRAAAUGUAUCAUAUAUUUUAAUUAUGUCUAUGAAUUGUAAGAUUGAAAAAAAUGCAAGAAGAUUAAAAAAAGAUCCUUUCCCUUGUACAGUAUCUCCCUAUCUGUAUUUGAAGGCAGUAUUGAAUGCAAACUCAGUCCCAGUGUUUACUGUUGCACUCCCUGUUGGUGUGAAGUGGUACUGCAUUUAAGCAUGUCAAGUGAAGUUGAUCUGGGUUGCAUCCAAAUACUUUUAAAAAUCAAAAUAUACUUGUCUCCUUUCCUUAACGGCCAACUAUCUGAAUUGAAUCGAUAGGUGAAAGGCAGUUGGUGGAAAUAAUGCAGUCCUUACACCUAUCAGUGGUCAUGGAGUGAAUGAGACAAGGAAAUGUUUGUAAACAUUACUGGGACACUUCCACCAGGUCAUGGUGAUGCAGUGAUCAGUACGCUUGUAUCGUCCCCUGAAGCAACACUCCAGGGGUGUUUACGAACUAAUUGGCGGUAAAGUAUUCAGAUAUACACUGGAUGUUCCAUGUGUUGUUUCUCUUCCAAAGUGACUAUAUUAAUGUGUUGAGAAAGAAAAAGAUACAUAAAACGUAUCAUAUACAAUAAUGUGGAUAACAAUGUUUGCUAUAUAUUUGGUUGAAGGCAGUGUUGUUUGGUUCUUGGAUGGCAUCACUCCUCUCCUCUCCCCCACUUGCAUGUGAGUCCCAUUGAGAUCGAAUAAAAUUCAAAUACACUGA